GGUCGGAGUGGGGACUGAAAGAGAAUUGCAAGUUGAUGGAAAGACAACAAAAUUAAAUGUCAUAGCAAUAGAAGCUGAUGGGUUUCGAAUAGAGUGUACUUUGUUUGGUAUUUAUGUGGAUGAACUGAAUGUAUUUCUUUCGAGUGGAGAAGUACAAAAUACUGCUGUAAGUAUAGAAUUUGCGAAAGUCAAAACUUUUCAAGAUAAGGUUCAAGUUCAAAAUUGUAAGUUCUGCACCCGUAUUAAGUACAAUGUUAACUUCAAGGAAGCAUCUGAAC